rnacentral:rRNA from 1 species
AUUGAACGCUGGCGACAUGCCUUACACAUGCAAGUCGAACGGCAGCACGGGUGCUUGCACCUGGUGGCGAGUGGCGAACGGGUGAGUAAUACAUCGGAACAUGUCCUGUAGUGGGGGAUAGCCCGGCGAAAGCCGGAUUAAUACCGCAUACGAUCUACGGAUGAAAGCGGGGGACCUUCGGGCCUCGCGCUAUAGGGUUGGCCGAUGGCUGAUUAGCUAGUUGGUGGGGUAAAGGCCUACCAAGGCGACGAUCAGUAGCUGGUCUGAGAGGACAACCAGCCACACUGGGACUGAGACACGGCCCAGACUCCUACGGGAGGCAGCAGUGGGGAAUUUUGGACAAUGGGCGAAAGCCUGAUCCAGCAAUGCCGCGUGUGUGAAGAAGGCCUUCGGGUUGUAAAGCACUUUUGUCCGGAAAGAAAUCCUUGGCCCUAAUACGGUCGGGGGAUGACGGUACCGGAAGAAUAAGCACCGGCUAACUACGUG